AAAUUAACCAGAUUAUACGCAUAAAAAGAGAACGGAGCAGAGAAGCGACGGACAGAAUAAGUGUCACCUGCUCCACCGAACCCGAUCAUUCUACGCAGGACAUUGUUUUCUGUGGGUGAAGUACAUGUUUGUGUGUAAUACGGACUGUUUCGGUGCAAAGAAGAAAAAAUACAUUUUUGCUCACCAUGUGCGACAAACCGGUUAUGGAUUGUAAUGUGUUUCUCCUCCAACUGCUCUUCCCAGGUCUCUUCUCAUGUCUCACUCCUCAAUAUCACUUUGUGAACAUGAGUAAGAACUGGACUGAAGCACAGAGUUACUGCAGAGAGAAGUACACUGACCUGGUUACCAUUGACAACCCAGAGGAAAUGAACAGAGUGAUUAACAGGGUAAACCUCACUGGUUAUACUGGACCAGCCUGGAUAGGACUGGAGAAGGGAAACUCGUGGAACUGGCAGUGGUCCCUGGAAGAGAGACGUCUCUACAGUGAUGGACAGACUGGGUUCUCAAACU